AUGACCAGAGACAAUCUCAGGAAAAGACACAUCAUUAAACCUCUAAGUUGUGUUUUCUGUUCUUCAGAUGAGUCCAUUCAACACUUUUUUUUUGAGUGUGUGGUAGCGAAAAUUAUGUUGGCUCUAGUCAGCGACCAUUUCAACAAAGAUAUAGGACUACAUUACCUUUCUGUUACUAGAUUUUGGGUUGCUAAUAAAGAGAAUGCAACUCUCAAUGUUGUUAGUUCGGCCAUGUUGUGGUGUCUAUGGAAACUUAUAAAUUCUAUGAUCUUUAACAAUGUAGUCCGGUCCAACAUUAAGCAGGUGAUAGGAAAGAUGCAAUCUAUGGUCCGAAACUGGAUGAUCCUUUGUGGGGACCAGGAAAGAUCCCAGCUGGAAGCAUUCGCCUCCUACCUCGCGAAGCAUCUGGCGAAGCCGCUCUGUCUGACCGUGGGCUGA
rnacentral:rRNA from 1 species